GACUCUCGGCAACGGAUAUCUCGGCUCACGCAUCGAUGAAGAACGUAGCAAAAUGCGAUACUUGGUGUGAAUUGCAGAAUCCCGUGAACCAUCGAGUUUUUGAACGCAAGUUGCGCCCGAAGCCUUUCGGCUGAGGGCACGUCUGCCUGGGUGUCACAC
rnacentral:rRNA from 2 species